ensembl:snRNA U6 U6 spliceosomal RNA
GUGCUCACUUUGGCAGCACAUAUACUAAAAUUGAAACAAUACAGAGAAGAUUAGCAUGGCCCCUGCACAAGGAUGAUACACAAAUUCGUGAAGCUUUCCAUGUUUUG